GGCAUUUAGAACACUUCCAGAUCCUCCAUGGUUCUCCAUGUGUCUGUCAGUACAAAAGACUUCUGGUUUUGUUUUUUCUUUUAGAUGUGACAUACCCCAAAGCAUCCUGUUUUCUGCUGCUUUGAUGUGGUAGAGGUUUGAAGAUAGAUUAUUUUCCAUUCUUGUCAUAGACUUUUACAGGCAGGCAAGGGGUAAUAUUUGUGAAAGGAGGAAAUGAACAGGUUCCUCAUGCUGACUGAAAAGUAGGUGAUGGAUUAGGCUGAUAAAAAAGUUAAAAUUCACAUUGCACCCAUGCUAGGCAUUUUCAAGGUAUUUCUGAGCCUCUCCUUUGUUCCCUUUAGAAACAGUACAAGUAUUACUAGAAUAUACAGUCUGCAUAGUAAUAUGUCUGUAUUAAGCUCUGCCAAGUCUGUGCAUGAAGGGCUUAUAAAAGAUUUAUGUGAAUUUCUGUGUCUGCUUUUUUAUUUGGAGGCAGGUUGUUGUAUGCAGCUAUGUACAGUAUUCUGUCUUAAGGUAAUAGAUACUUUUGCUUAUUUGGAAGGAGGGAACUGUGGUCAGUUAAAUAUGUAAUACUGUUAUCCAUUUCUAUAGGAAGCAGAACAGCUAAGAAAAAGCAUUUUUGUGUUAGACAAAUUACAAUAUAAUUGAGGUUUUUAAUACAGGAACGAAAAAUAAAUAUUUUAUUAAAAGGUCAUUGGAAUUUUUUUCAAUAAAGCGUUCUAGUAGCAAGAAACUGAUUUCACAGAAUCGCAGUAUCUGUUAGGUUGGAACAGGCCUCUGAGACCAUCAAGUCCCAGCCUUGGAACAAACACCAUCUUGUCAGGUAGACCAUGGCACUGAGUGUCACAUGCAGUCUUUUCUCAAACACCUCCAGGGAUGGUGACUCCAUCGCCUCCCUGGGCAGACCGUUCCAAUGUUUGACAGUCCUGUGAACAAAUUCCUCCUCAUGUUCAAUGUGAACCUCAUUCACUAUUGUAAUAUAUAAAAUUAAAUAAUUAAUUAAUUUAUCACAUUUGUAAAUUUCCAGGCAUAUGUGCUAAUUUCCUGAAUUUAUUAGGACAAUCCCUCUUGUACAAAUUAUCAUUUGUUGUUGGACAGGGAGGGACAUGUUACAUAAGCCAGUAACUCAGUUGUUGCUACCUCUUUGGCCAGCCAUGUCCUUCUAUGCAGAUUUCCCGGAACCAGUGACACUGCUGAGUUUCCUUGAUGCUUAGUUUAUCUGUGUUGUAAAAUAGUUACAUUUUGGGGAGAGAGGAACUGAAGAGGUGAGAACUGUCCAUGGUGUUACAUGUACUGAAUGGGAAGGUGCUCUGAAGCAGAGAAAGAAGCCUAAGCAGUAGCUGUAUGCACAAUUAUCCUUUUGGUUCUGUCAUACCAAUGUAGUGGAAGGUCAGGAGUCCAGAUUAAUGUUUCAGUUACACCUUCAUGAAGAAUGGGAAUGCCACACUGACUGUGCAGCAGUAUAUAUUUCAGAUUGGUAAAUAUUUCAUUUACAACAAGUGUGGUUUGUCCAAGAGGAUGUGUGCAGUUUUCCCUCCUUGCUGCUACUGUAGAGAGCACUGCCUGGUAGUCUUUAUUCUCUGGAUUCUUUCUGUUCAGUGGUAUUGUGCAUUAGGCCUGAAACUUGCAUUUUGUGAGUUUUGGGAGGAAACUCCGUGUGGUUGUGUGUAUAUUUUCCCAUGCAUCUAACCAACACAAGGCAACAGAAACAACACAAAUGUUAAGGUUACCCUGCCCACCAACCUUUACAACAUUGUACGGGAGGGGUAGUGCAGUUGUAAUGGAUAUAGGAAUGCUUGUCCAUGCCCAGAUGGAAAUGGUUGUUUACUGGAUGGCAAGUACUGAAGUUUUAUCAGUGGGAGAACUAGGCAGGAAAAACCUGCAGUUUGACUUUGCUAAACUUUUACACAAUUUUUCCUCCACAUGAAAUAUUUCCCCAGGAAUCUAAGGCGUGUGGAAGAUGCUGGAUCACCAGGUGCAGAGAUUGAACUCUACCCACUGGAAAGGUUUUUCUACAGCAGCAGCAGGUCUUCUCUUGCCUCUCAUGGGAACACUUAGCCUUUUGAUAAUGCCUCCUUCACAAAGAAGGGGGGAAGAAAGGAUGGAUCAGCAGGGGUGUGCAAUGGAGUGAUGUCCACAUGUGGUGUUAACAGUCGUGAUGAUCCCUGUCCCACUAACUUGGAGAAUUGAAUAAAAAAGUUGAAUUGUAA